rnacentral:rRNA from 2 species
UAAACGACUCUCGGCAACGGAUAUCUCGGCUCACGCAUCGAUGAAGAACGUAGCAAAAUGCGAUACUUGGUGUGAAUUGCAGAGUCCCGUGAACCAUCGAGUUUUUGAACGCAAGUUGCGCCCGAAGCCUUUUGGCCGAGGGCACGUCUGCCUGGGCGUCACAC